rnacentral:rRNA from 1 species
UACAGAGGGUGCGAGCGUUGUCCGGGAUCACUGGGCGUAAAGGGCGCGUAGGCGGCUUGAUAAGCGUGCGGUGAAAGCCCGGGGCUCAACCCCGGGUCGGCCGUGCGAACUGUCGAGCUGGAGCACUGUAGAGGCAGGUGGAAUUCCGGGUGUAGCGGUGGAAUGCGUAGAGAUCCGGAAGAACACCGGUGGCGAAGGCGGCCUGCUGGGCAGUGGCUGACGCUGAGGCGCGACAGCGUGGGGAGCAAACAGG